CUUCAUCGACAUGUAUUUAAACUAAAACUCCAUUUGUUUAUUGAAUUUUUAAUGUAAAUUGCUAUUGGAAAUUCAUUAGUAAAAGUGGUAAAAAUUAACGGUAGGUAUAGGUAUGCUCUGCAUUAUUGCUGUCCAAAUAGUUGUAUGGACAUUUCUCUUUUUCAACUUAUUUUCACUUGUGGGUUAGGUGCGGUAUAUAGGUAUGAAUUUGUCUACAGUUUUGCGUUACUAGUAACGUCCGAGAGGAAAUCUUUUAGGUUUAUUGUAAAUUUGUAUUAUUAUAAUUUUUGUUUUUACUACGUUAUCAUACGAUAAGUACGACCGAGAACUAUAAAUUAAUGAUAUUGGUUUUACGAUUAAGUUUACGAAUUCAUAUAUUAUUAAUCGCUAUAACUAUUAUUUAAUUGAUUAUUGAUCAAAAUGUAAAAUAAUAUAGUUAUUAGAAUACGAAACAAAAAAUGAUAUUUUUGAGUGUGGCAGGCAAUUGCGGCGUGGUGACCCAGUAUACUACUUACCGUCUUGUUAAGUAGGUACCUACUUAACACUAUUUAAUACUAAAAAAUAAUUUUUUACAGCUUAUGUGUUUUGAAAACUUUUUGAUGGUAUUUUUGUUCCAGAAUUUAAAGCACAUGUAUUCAUGUACUAACACGUAUUUUACGAUUUAAAAUGUUUGUUAUUAAAACAAUAUUCUAUAAUGGUUCGAAGAAUUUAUAAUAAUUCAUUUAGUUGAUAAACUC